rnacentral:rRNA from 1 species
AUGCCGAGAACCCCAAACAUGAAGAUGUACUCCAGGGACAAUCUGAUGAAGAACAACUUUGGCGUUGAAGGUGAUGAGGAUGAUGAAGAUGACGAUGAAGACGAGGAUAGCUUACCCAAGAACUUGGGAAACAUUCUAAAAAACAAGGGUCCGCAAAAGAAAGAGCUGAAGCAACAGGUCGUGAAACAGAUCAAGGAUACCGGCAAGAAACUGAAAGGGCAUGUGAGCAAGGUGUCCAAGGUGGUGAAGAAUUGGUGGAAGGGGAAGAAGAAGCCUGCAAAGUCCAGCAAAAGCGAGCUAUGA